rnacentral:rRNA from 1 species
CAUGAACGAAAGUUUGACUAAGUUAUGCUAUUUAGGGCUGGUAAAUUUCGUGCCAGCCACCGCGGUCACACGAUUAGCCCUAAUUAAUGGACUAACGGCGUAAAACGUGUUUAAAAAUUCAUAAACAAUAAAGUUAAACUGUAACUAAGCUGUAAAAAGCCCCAGCUACUGUAAACCCCCUAACGAAAGUAACUUUAAUAUGUUUGAAGACACGAAAGCUAAGGCCCAAACUGGGAUUAGAUACCCCACUAUGCUUAGCCUUAAACUAAAAAAAUCUAGUAUAACAAGAUUUUUCGCCAGAGUACUACAGGCCAAAGCCUAAAACUCAAAGGACUUGGCGGUGCUUUAUAUCCCUCUAGAGGAGCCUGUUCUAUAAUCGAUACACCCCGAUAAACCUCACCAACUCUCGCCAAUCCAGCCUAUAUACCGCCAUCUUCAGCAAACCCUAAAAAGGACUUAAAGUAAGCCCAACGAUAACACAUAAAAACGUUAGGUCAAGGUGUAGCCUAUGAGUUGGAAAGAAAUGGGCUACAUUUCCUAAACUAGGUAACACUCACUUACACGAAAGUCCUUGUGAAACCAACGACCCAAGGUGGAUUUAGCAGUAAAUUAAGAAUAGAGUGCUUAAUUGAAUAAGGCCAUGAAGCACGCACACACCGCCCGUCACCCUCCUCAAAUAUCCAACGGUAACCCUAUACAUAAAAUAAAUUUACCCUACUUACUAGAGGAGACAAGUCGUAACAUGGUAAGCGUACUGGAAAGUGCGCUUGGACAAU